rnacentral:lncRNA from 1 species
GCAUUACAAAAAAAUAACAUUCAAUCUGGUUCAGCUAUAGAUUAUAUAUCAGGUAGCAUAAGCUUAUGAAGGAGCUCAACAAAAUAUAAUGCUGAAGUAGCAAAGACCAUUUAUCUGAUACUACUUUCUUUUCAAAAAAACUAACUUAGUAGAUACUAGCAUCGACUGAAAUAUUAAAAACAAAAUUGGAAAAGGAUAAAUAAAAUAAAAUCAGGUGAAGUGAAUGCCAGAUUUGUUAAAUAGAGAAAGCAGGUAUAUGAACUCCAGCAAGGUGAGUUUGGAAGAUCUCUUCUCUUCAUAAUCUCCUUCUUUCAGAACACCUAAAACCUUGUCUUUGAAUUCAGAUGGCCCCCCAUCUUCAACAUCCAUUUCAUCCUCAUCAUUGUCAUCUACUCCAUCAUCAUCCAUCUCCAUCCCUUGAUCGUCAACAAAAUCAGCAAAAUUAGAGAAGUCAACUUUAGUGUCUGCUUCCUUCAACAAACCUUCUUGCGAGAGUUUUAGUGCCUGCACAGUCUUGUAAUUCUUUUCAAGCAUAGAUAUCACAUUCUUUUGCCUGAAUAUUGCACCAAGUGUUUUGUUCUUUCUGUUAAAACAAAUCCUUAAAAAUCCAUCCCACUCCUUUUGAUUAACUUCAUGACGGGGCUUUUUAGGCUCAAUCCGUACCACGGAAGAAUCAACCUUUGGUGGAGGCCUGAAAUUGUUUCUUC